rnacentral:lncRNA from 1 species
GCGGUAUAACUACUCUUGCCUUAUUUGGGACAUCCCUUAAUGAAAUAAAUGCUUUUCAAUAUGAAAAUCAUUUACAAAGAUUGAAAAAAGUGUACGAAAGGCACAGAAUCCAAUUGCACAAGUUGCAAAAACAAUUGUUGAAAUGGAAAAGGCCUAGUGUAGAAGGACUCCAGGGAUUUGGUUGAGCUUUACCCAUGGCUUACACCAGACAUAGGGACGAACAAAUUUUUUUUUAAUUUAAAAGAUGACUGUGAGAAAUCCAUUGACUAUUUAACGCAAAC